CCGGAUGAUGGGCAAGGACGACAAUGAUAUGUCAAGAGUGGAGUUUCUGUGGCAGGGAGUCUAGGAGGAGCCACACUUGACUCUCCAACGGUUGGAAUGGGUAAGACUUCUGUAGCGGAAGGUGUAGGAGGAGCUAUAGUAGAAUCCCUAAAGGCAGGUAUAUGUAAAACCUCAGAUAUAUCAAGAUGGUCAGAAUGGUAAGAAGAGGUAAAGAAAGGUUUAGACUCAAAAAAUGUGACAUCAGCUGACAUAAGGUAGCUACGAAGAUCAGGUCAAUAACAACGAUAGCCCUUCUGGACACGAGAAUAACCAAGGAAGACACACUUGAGAGCACGAGGAGCUAACUUAUCUUUCCCAGGGGCUAAGUUAUGNNN
rnacentral:lncRNA from 1 species